rnacentral:rRNA from 1 species
UACGUAGGGUGCAAGCGUUGUCCGGAAUUAUUGGGCGUAAAGAGCGCGCAGGCGGCCCGGCAAGUCGGGUGUGAAAUCCCGGGGCUCAACCCCGGGACUGCAUUCGAUACUGUCGGGCUAGAGGUAGGUAGGGGAGAUCGGAAUUCCUGGUGUAGCGGUGAAAUGCGCAGAUAUCAGGAGGAACACCGGUGGCGAAGGCGGAUCUCUGGGCCUUACCUGACGCUCAGGCGCGAAAGCUAGGGGAGCGAACAGG